UCCAGACUCCUACGGGAGGCAGCAGUGAGGAAUAUUGGUCGAUGGGCGCGAGCCUGAACCAGCCAAGUCGCGUGAGGGAUGACGGUCCUACGGAUUGUAAACCUCUUUUGCCGGGGAGCAAGCGUGCGUUCGUGAACGCGCGUCGAGAGUACCCGGAGAAAAAGCAUCGGCUAACUACGUGCCAGCAGCCGCGGUAAUACGUAGGGGGCAAGCGUUAUCCGGAUUUACUGGGUGUAAAGGGGGCGCAGACGGCAGCGCAAGCCAGGGGUGAAAGCCCGGGGCCCAACCCCGGGACUGCGCUUGGAACUGCGCGGCUGGAGUGCAGGAGGGGCAGGCGGAAUUCCUGGUGUAGCGGUGAAAUGCGUAGAUAUCAGGAGGAACACCGGUGGCGAAGGCGGCCUGCUGGACUGCGACUGACGUUGAGGCCCGAAAGCGUGGGGAGCAAACAGGAUUAGAUACCCGCGUAUA
rnacentral:rRNA from 1 species